AGUAAAUCCAAUUGUAGGGGAUAUUAAGUCCUUUGGUGUUUUCCAAAGUGUUUGAUCAAGUUUCAGUUGUGGAAGUCUGCACCAUAUACAUCUCCAUUUCUUUGAUAAGAUACUUGUCCUCACAACAUCUCAGGAAGGCAACCUCAUUAGAAUCUCAUCUAUUACACUAUCGGGAAGGUUCACACACCACAUCAAAAGGCAACAGUUGCUUUUUUCCAUUUGGAGGCAUAAUACUAAAUGACUAGCAACAACAAUUCGCAAA